GCAGGCCUAACACAUGCAAGUCGAACGGUAGCACAGAGAGCUUGCUCUCGGGUGACGAGUGGCGGACGGGUGAGUAAUGUCUGGGAAACUGCCUGAUGGAGGGGGAUAACUACUGGAAACGGUAGCUAAUACCGCAUAACGUCGCAAGACCAAAGAGGGGGACCUUCGGGCCUCUUGCCAUCAGAUGUGCCCAGAUGGGAUUAGCUAGUAGGUGGGGUAACGGCUCACCUAGGCGACGAUCCCUAGCUGGUCUGAGAGGAUGACCAGCCACACUGGAACUGAGACACGGUCCAGACUCCUACGGGAGGCAGCAGUGGGGAAUAUUGCACAAUGGGCGCAAGCCUGAUGCAGCCAUGCCGCGUGUAUGAAGAAGGCCUUCGGGUUGUAAAGUACUUUCAGCGGGGAGGAAGGUGUUGUGGUUAAUAACCACAGCAAUUGACGUUACCCGCAGAAGAAGCACCGGCUAACUCCGUGCCAGCAGCCGCGGUAAUACGGAGGGUGCAAGCGUUAAUCGGAAUUACUGGGCGUAAAGCGCACGCAGGCGGUCUGUCAAGUCGGAUGUGAAAUCCCCGGGCUCAACCUGGGAACUGCAUCCGAAACUGCCAGGCUUGAGUCUUGUAGAGGGGGGUAGAAUUCCAGGUGUAGCGGUGAAAUGCGUAGAGAUCUGGAGGAAUACCGGUGGCGAAGGCGGCCCCCUGACCAAGACUGACG
rnacentral:rRNA from 1 species